UCAAACCCAACUCACUCACUCACUUUAACCACCCGACAACUGAAGACAUGGCUGGGAUCCCAGCUUGCGUAGAGCAGGAAGAAAACCAGUCAAGCUCUAACGUCACGUGAUACUAUGACAGUCUCGCGAGAUUUAUGACGUCGCCAUGACGACAGUUUCGCUACGAUCGCCAUUGUUGUAAUUAUCAUAUUGCUAUCAUCUGGCUAUUAUUUUGCUGUUGUUUACCUCGUGUUUUGCUUUGAAAACAUUAUGAGCUGCUACGCCCAAGGUAGAAGAUAUGUAGCCCUCCACUCGCUAGUGAUGUAUCACUGAGCAGCCUUCGUCUCCAUCUGAUGUGUAUCGCGCCAGUUAUAAACACGUAUCAGUCAAACGUUGGAAUAAAAUCCUACUAUGAACCUUAA